rnacentral:rRNA from 1 species
AGUUUGAUUCUGGCUCAGAUUGAACGCUGGCGGGAUGUUUACACAUGCAAGUCGAACGGCAGCAUGGACUUUCGGUCUGGUGGCGAGUGGCGAACGGGGUGAGUAAUGUACCUGAACGUGCCUAGUAGCGGGUUGACAACUACGCGAAAGCGUAGCGACUACCGCAUUGCCCGGGGAAAGCGGGGACCUUUCGGGCUUCGCACUAUUAGGAGCGGCUGAUAUCAGAUUAGCUAGUUGGUGGGGUAACACUACCGCUAAGGACGAUCCGUAGCUGACGAGAGGACGACUACUACACUGGGACUGAGACAUGGCCCAGACUCCUACGGGAGGCAGCACAGUGGGGAAUUUUGACAAUGGGGAAACCCUGGAUCCAGCCAUCCCGCGUGUGCGAUAAGGCCUCGGGUUGUGUAAGCACUUACAGGAAAGAAACGCACGGAUAAUACCCGUGCAACUUGACGGUACCCGCAGAAUAAGCACCGGCUAACUACGCCAGCAGCCGCGGUAAUACGUAGGUGCAAGCGUUAAUCGGAAUUACUGGGCGUAAAGCGUGCGCAGCAGGCGGUUCGGAAAGAAAGAUGUGAAAUCCCAGAGCUUAACUCUUUGGAACUGCAUUUUUAACUACCAGCGAAAGGUGGUUGAGGGAGGUGGAAUUCUCGUGUGUAGCAGUAAUGUAGAUAUGUGGAGGAACACCGAUGGCGAAGCGCAGCCUCCUGGGAUAACACUGACGCUCAUGCACGAAAGCGUGGGGAGCAAACAGGAUUAGGAUACCCGGGAAGUCCACGCCUAAACGUGAUGUGUCAAUCUCAGCUGUUGGGCCUCGGCCUUGGUAGCGCAGCUAACGCGUGAAGUUGAGCCCGCCUGUGUGGAGUACGGUCGCAAGAUUAAAACUCAAAGCACUGAUGGGACCCACACAAGCGGUGGAUGAUGUGGAUUAAUUCGAUGCAACGCGAAAACCUUACCUACUCCUUGACAUGUCUGGAAUCCCGAAGAGAUUUGGGAGUGCUCUGCAAGAGAACCGGAACAUGGUGUGCUGCAUGGCUGUCGUCAGCUCGUGUCGUGAUGUGCUGGGGUUAAGUCCCGCAACGAGCGCAACCCUUGUCAUUACGCUACUGAAAGGGCACUCUAAUGAGACUGCCGGUGACAAACCGGAGGAAGGUGGGGAUGACGUCGUCAAGUCCUCAUGGCCCUUAUGGGUAGGGCUUCACACGUCAUACAAUGGUCGGGACAGAGGGUCGCCAAAUCCGCGAGGGGGAGCCAAUCCUGAGAAACCCGAUCGUAGUCCGGAUCGCAGUCUGCAACUCGACUGUGAAGUCGGAAUCGCCAGUAAUCGCGGAUCAGCAUGUCGCGGUGAAUACGUUCCCGGGUCUGUACACACCGCCCGUCACACCAUGGGAGGGGCUUUACCAGAAGUAGUUAGCUCAACCGUAAGGAGUGGCGAUUACCACGGUAGGAUUCAUGACUGUGGUGAAGUCGUAACAAGGUAA